rnacentral:rRNA from 1 species
AGAAUCAACGCUGGCGGCGUGCCUAAUACAUGCAAGUCGAACGCGAAAGCCCCGCAAGGGGCAAGUAGAGUGGCAAACGGGUGAGUAACGCGUGGGCGACCUACCUUCGAGUGGGGGACAACCUUCCGAAAGGAGGGCUAAUACCGCAUGACAUCCCGUGUUUGGAUACACGGACAUCAAAGUCGGGGAUCGCAAGACCUGACGCUUGGAGAGGGGCCCGCGUCCGAUUAGCUAGGUUGGUGGGUAACGGCCCACCGAAGGCUUCGAUCGGUA